GUCAUAUUUAGGACAAGUGUUUGUGACAACUGCCUUCUCUGAACAGCGGUCUCAUCAGCACAGGCCUCAGUACAUUGGAGAUUUAAGAGGACACUUCACACCCUACAACCCCUAAAAUAACCCAGAUUUGACAGCACUGCACACCCAUCUCAGGCCUUCCUGUUUCAUUUUGCGAUUACCCCAGAUACUUCUACUACUAACCCGCUUUGUAAGUUCUAAAAAAAAAAAAAAAAAAAAAAAAAAUACACCUUAAACAAACACUUAAUUGUGGGAAAAUGUAAUGUGUAUUUGCUCUUAUAUUACUGAGAUACUUCUAUAAGAUUAUUGUUGAUUAUAUACCUCGUUCACCCA